UAGGGAAUCUUGCGCAAUGGGCGAAAGCCUGACGCAGCCAUGCCGCGUGAAUGAUGAAGGUCUUAGGAUUGUAAAAUUCUUUCACCGGGGACGAUAAUGACGGUACCCGGAGAAGAAGCCCCGGCUAACUUCGUGCCAGCAGCCGCGGUAAUACGAAGGGGGCUAGCGUUGCUCGGAAUUACUGGGCGUAAAGGGCGCGUAGGCGGAUAGUUUAGUCAGAGGUGAAAGCCCAGGGCUCAACCUUGGAAUUGCCUUUGAUACUGGCUAUCUUGAGUACGGGAGGGGUGUGUGGAACUCCGAGUGUAGAGGUGAAAUUCGUAGAUAUUCGGAAGAACACCAGUGGCGAAGGCGACUGACUGGACAAGUAUUGACGCUGAGGUGCGAAAGCGUGGGGAGCAAA
rnacentral:rRNA from 1 species